UCGAACGAAGCACCUUACCGGAUUCUUCGGAUGAAAGUUUGGUGACUGAGUGGCGGACGGGUGAGUAACGCGUGGGUAACCUGCCCUGUACAGGGGGAUAACAGCUGGAAACGGCUGCUAAUACCGCAUAAGCGCACGAGGAGACAUCUCCUAGUGUGAAAAACUCCGGUGGUACAGGAUGGGCCCGCGUCUGAUUAGCUGGUUGGCAGGGUAACGGCCUACCAAGGCAACGAUCAGUAGCCGGUCUGAGAGGAUGAACGGCCACAUUGGAACUGAGACACGGUCCAAACUCCUACGGGAGGCAGCAGUGGGGAAUAUUGCACAAUGGGGGAAACCCUGAUGCAGCAACGCCGCGUGAGUGAAGAAGUAUUUCGGUAUGUAAAGCUCUAUCAGCAGGGAAGAUAAUGACGGUACCUGACUAAGAAGCUCCGGCUAAAUACGUGCCAGCAGCCGCGGUAAUACGUAUGGAGCAAGCGUUAUCCGGAUUUACUGGGUGUAAAGGGUGCGUAGGUGGCAGUGCAAGUCAGAUGUGAAAGGCCGGGGCUCAACCCCGGAGCUGCAUUUGAAACUGCUCGGCUAGAGUACAGGAGAGGCAGGCGGAAUUCCUAGUGUAGCGGUGAAAUGCGUAGAUAUUAGGAGGAACACCAGUGGCGAAGG
rnacentral:rRNA from 1 species